rnacentral:rRNA from 1 species
UACGAGGGGAGCAAGCGUUGUUCGGAUUUACUGGGCGUAAAGGGCGCGUAGGCGGUCGUGACAAGUCACUUGUGAAAUCUCCGGGCUUAACUCGGAACGGUCAAGUGAUACUGUCGGACUAGAGUACAGAAGGGGCAACUGGAAUUCUCGGUGUAGCGGUGAAAUGCGUAGAUAUCGGGAGGAACAUCAGUUGCGAAGGCGGCUCUCUGGACCAGCACUGACACUGAGGCACGAAAGCGUGGGGAGCAAACAGG